UGUGGCCCCUACAGAAGCCGCGGCUGUUUCCAUGCAGCCGCUGUGGUCAAAAAGGAGCCGAGGUGGCUGUUCUCCCUGACGGUCACGGUUCGUUUGCCGUAACUGACCUGCAACAUUUUGGGAAAAGACAGUC
ensembl:snoRNA